CCUACGGGAGGCUGCAGUGGGGAAUAUUGGACAAUGGGGGCAACCCUGAUCCAGCCAUGCCGCGUGUGUGAAGAAGGCCCUCGGGUUGUAAAGCACUUUCAGUGAGGAAGAACGCCUGGUGGUUAAUACCCAUCAGGAAAGACAUCACUCACAGAAGAAGCACCGGCUAACUCCGUGCCAGCAGCCGCGGUAAUACGGAGGGUGCGAGCGUUAAUCGGAAUUACUGGGCGUAAAGCGCGCGUAGGUGGCUUGAUAAGCCGGUUGUGAAAGCCCCGGGCUCAACCUGGGAACGGCAUCCGGAACUGUCAAGCUAGAGUGCAGGAGAGGAAGGUAGAAUUCCCGGUGUAGCGGUGAAAUGCGUAGAGCUCGGGAGGAAUACCAGUGGCGAAGGCGGCCUUCUGGACUGACACUGACACUGAGGUGCGAAAGCGUGGGUAGCAAACAGGAUUAGAUACCCCAGUAGUC
rnacentral:rRNA from 1 species